CUUUCCCAAAACAGGUAUAUCAAUCACUUCCAUAACAUUAAUAAACUGAUCAAAUUCAUACCUCUCUAUCGGGCUCCUUCCUCCACUGCUGCCUAUUCUUUCUCCCAAAUUCAAGAUCGCGUUAAAGUCUCCUCCUAGACACCAAUCACCCUUUGCAUUGUUCAAUUUAAAAUCUAUCAAGUCUUUCCAAAGCUUCCGCUUUCCUGACAUACUACACGGAGAAUAGAUAUUAACAAUGUACAGCAAGCCAGAAUUCCAUUCAACACACACACACCUAAAAAGCCAUCUCCUGUGAAGCUAUACUGAA
rnacentral:lncRNA from 1 species